CAGUCGCCGCGGUAAUACGAAGGGGGCUAGCGUUGCUCGGAAUGACUGGGCGUAAAGGGCGCGUAGGCGGAUCACGCAGUCAGAUGUGAAAUUCCUGGGCUUAACCUGGGGGCUGCAUUUGAGACGCGUGGUCUAGAGUGUGAAAGAGGGUCGUGGAAUUCCCAGUGUAGAGGUGAAAUUCGUAGAUAUUGGGAAGAACACCGGUGGCGAAGGCGGCGACCUGGUUCAUGACUGACGCUGAGGCGCGAAAGCGUGGGGAGCAAACAGGAUUAGAUACCCGUGUAGUCCCUGUCUCUUAUAC
rnacentral:rRNA from 1 species